GUAAUAAAUGAAGCCAUUCCAGACAUUGUGGGGGGUAAAGUUAUUGGACUUGUGACUUCAAGAGAUGAGAUUCCUGAUCUUUUAAAGCUCGAUGAUGUGAUUGAUCUUGUUAUCCCAA